GUUUUGUCGUAUCCUAGACCAAAAACUCCUUUUAACUCUAGUCAUCCACAUAUAUCAAUAAUUUUUUUAUGGGAGUUAAUAUUCAUAUACCCCUUCCCUCUAUCUCUCUCUAUACAUACAUAGAUAUAUAUAGAGAGAUAGAGUGAAAAAGGAUGUUAAAAUAAGAUUUAAGGGUGUGAAAAUAGUGGAAGCUUUUUUUUUAUUCAAUGCAGGUCCUUGUUAGUUGUGGGGAAGGAUAAGGAAGCAAGUAGGUCAUGGCCCAUGAUUUCCUUAUAGAUAUCCUAGUGAUCUCUAGUAGAAAAUUCGGGCGUGAGUAGCUCAGCUGCAACAACAACACUGAUUCAAGUUGUCUGAUUAUUCACAGGUCAUCCAACACAUAAACCAGUCGAUAAUCUAAAUCAAUCAAACAUCAAAACACUAUCUCCUGCAGCAGGAUUCUGGUUAUUCUAUAUCACGUAAGUACAUAACCACCUUCGAGUUUCGAAUCACAAUGCCAAACACCCCCUUAAAAACAAUACUACAACAGUAGUACUAAUUCGAAAAAAGCAAAAGACCGAAAAAAGCGAAAAGCUUAACGUGAAUUAAAGGACAAAAAGGAGUUAAACCUAUCAACAACUGUGGGACAUGAACACAAAAAUUGCAACGUGUUCAAUCAUGAAUCUCUCAUAUUAAUCAUCAUGAUUUUUUUUUUCCUUUUUUGGUU
rnacentral:lncRNA from 1 species